rnacentral:rRNA from 1 species
CCUACGGGAGGCAGCAGUAGGGAAUAUUGGGCAAUGGGCGAAAGCCUGACCCAGCAACGCCGCGUGUACGAUGAAGGUCUUCGGAUCGUAAAGUACUUUUCUGGGAGAUGAGAAAGGACUGUAUCCCAGGAAUAAGCUUCGGCUAACUACGUGCCAGCAGCCGCGGUAAAACGUAGGAAGCGAGCGUUAUCCGGAUUUACUGGGCGUAAAGCGCGUGUAGGCGGUCUGAUAAGUUGGAUGUGAAAUCUCCUGGCUCAACUGGGAGGGGUCGUUCAAAACUAUCAGACUAGAGGACAGUAGAGGAAGGUGGAAUUCCCGGUGUAGUGGUGAAAUGCGUAGAUAUCGGGAGGAACACCAGUGGCGAAAGCGGCCUUCUGGACUGUAUCUGACGCUCAGACGCGAAAGCUAGGGGAGCGAACGGGAUUAGAGACCCCGGUAGUCCUAGCUGUAAACGAUGUAGACUUGGCGUCGGUGGGUUCAAAGCCAUCGGUGCCGAAGCUAACGCGAUAAGUCUACCGCCUGGGGACUACGGCCGCAAGGUUAAAACUCAAAGGAAUUGACGG